GGGUCAGUGGUAAGUACUUUAUAUUGCCUUGAGGAGAGAUGAUAACUUAAAUAUCAUGUACAAGGCAUGAUGUUCAGGCCC
rnacentral:snoRNA from 1 species